ACUCCUACGGGAGGCAGCAGUGGGGAAUCUUCCGCAAUGGGCGCAAGCCUGACGGAGCGACGCCGCGUGAGUGAUGAAGGCCUUCGGGUUGUAAAACUCUGUUCUUGAGGAUGAAGAGCCUGUGGAGUGGAAAGCCACAGGAGUGACGGUACUCAAGGAGAAAGCUCCGGCUAACUACGUGCCAGCAGCCGCGGUAAU
rnacentral:rRNA from 1 species